AGAAAUUUAGCUCAGUUAAUUCAGAGCAUCCCGACCUACGGUCGGGAGGGUCGGCGGUUCGAGCCCGUCAACUCCCA
rnacentral:tRNA from 1 species